rfam:Candidatus Colwellbacteria bacterium RIFCSPLOWO2_12_FTLL_44_13 rifcsplowo2_12_scaffold_26361, whole genome shotgun sequence.
GUUCAUAUCGACGGCGGAGUUCGGCACCUCGAUGUCGGCUCACCUUAGCGCGGCGGCGGAGAAGCUGCCAAGCGUAUGGCUGUUCGCCAUUUAAAAAGGUACGCGAGCUGGGUUCAGACCGUCCUUCAGUCAAUUAUUAAAUUGACUUCAGGAUAGUCUGAAUCCUCAGAGGAAAAUAAUUCAUGUGUGAAUUAGAACUGUUAUAAAUUUGAAAUCAACCAAGUGUAUUAAAUUACACACACGGCGGCUUUGUAUAGAAAUAUAUAAAGAGAAGCUAACUUAUAUCGGAGAAAUCCUGAACAAAAGUGAAGGACAACGCCGAGGGAAGUUGUAAACUUUGUAGAGGAAGAGAGAUUUUAGUGUACUGAGCACGGCCUUGGAUUAAAUUCCAAAUUGACCUGGCCAUUGGGUCCCUAAAGGGCAACGAGUCUGUAUGAUUGUUGCUACGGGAUACCGCCCCAGGCGAUAGGACGGAAUGGGUUAGACUCCCGUGUCUCUCUUUCUCGCAUCUUUCGAAGCGAUGCUUGCAUCGCUUCCUCUACAAAGUUUACAACACCCGUAGAGACUGAAUGUUAGACAUCCUGAGAUUUUCGAAGGAUGAUGUCACAGUCCGAUCCUGCAAGUAAUUGCAGAAAUCUAUUAUUGUAGAUAUAUAGAUUCACCUUCGUCCCUCAAUAAAUUCGGGACUAUGGCGUAACAAUGUGCGUGAGACAGGUUGGUCUCCUAUCUACUGCACUCGUUGAUUCUUGAGAAGAUUUGCUCCUAGUAGGCCCGGAAGGGCUUUGCUACUUCACGAAGAAAUUUGUGAUGAAAAAGUGGCUAAUAACGGUGGAGUCUUCAUUAAUGUUUUUGGUUUUAGAAUUACAAUAUCAUUCGAUCCUUGAUAUUAUAACUCGCUUGAGGACCAGAAAUAUGAUAAGAUAAUACCGUGGGAAGUCGAUCUAAAAAAUUAGAGUUAGCAUACAUUGCUGGUUUUCUUGAUGGAGAUGGUAGUCUAAUGCUUCAGCUUAAACGUCGAAGCGACAGUAAGCGAGCAAUUCGUUUCAUGACUACGAUUUGUUUCUAUCAGGAUACUAGGCAUAAAAAGACUUUAUAUUGGAUAAAAAAAGUUUUGGGUAUCGGUUAUAUUUCUACCAGAAAUGAUGGAAUGACCGAAUUGCGUAUAAAUGGUUAUAAACAAGUAAGAAAUAUUCUUAAAAGUUUGUUACCAUAUAUUCGAUUCAAAAAACUUCAAACUUUUGCACUUAUAAAAGCGUGUGAAGUAUUAUCUAGUACUAAGUUUAAAAAGCUAACGAAAAAGCAAUUAGUUAAACUUGUCGAUCUAAUUUUAGUAAUUCAAAGUGAAAACUAUGUUACUAAAAAGAAGAAAACAAAAAUUGAAUUGCACAAAAUUUUAGGUUUGACCCCGUAACGACUUGUUCUUGAUUUUUGUAAUCAAGACGGACUUGCAUGACGCUGGAAAGUCUCAAAAUUUGAGACAGGCUUAUGCUUGUAAUACGCCAACAUCCUCAUGGUGGGUAAAGGAUUUAUCCUGAGCCUGUCGAAGGAUGAAGAUAUAGUCUGCACUCCUAGAAAUAGGGGAGGAUUUUACACACGUUUUAAAAUUGUGUUUAAUCAGCGACGAGAGGACCGGAGUGAACUGACCUCUGGUGUACCUGCUGUCUUGCCAAAGGCAAUGCAGGGUAGCUAUGUCGGGAAUGGAUAACCUCUGAAAGCAUCUAAGAGGGAAGCCAGCUUCAAGAUUAGGAAUCGNNNNNNNNNNNNNNNNNNNNNNNNNNNNNNNNNNNNNNNNNNNNNNNNNNNNNNNNNNNNNNNNNNUAAGAGGGAAGCCAGCUUCAAGAUUAGGAAUCGUUAAGAACCGUGAGAGAUGAUCACGUUGAUAGGCUUUAAGUGUAAGCGCAGUAAUGCGUUCAGCUGAGAAGUACUAAUGUUUCGAUUCCUGUUAAGAA